CUAGGGAUGGAGAUGUGACUAGGUACUAGGGAUGGAGAUGUGACUAGGUACUAGGGAUGGAGAUGUGACCAGGUGCUAUGGAUGGAGAUGUGACCAGGUGCUAGGGAUGGAGAUGUGACUAGGUACUAGGGAUGGAGAUGUGACUAGGUACUAGGGAUGGAGAUGUGACUAGGUACUAGGGAUGGAGAUGUGACCAGGUGCUAGGGAUGGAGAUGUGACUAGGUACUAGGGAUGGAGAUGUGACUAGGUACUAGGGAUGGAGAUGUGACCAGGUGCUAUGGAUGGAGAUGUGACCAGGUGCUAGGGAUGGAGAUGUGACUAGGUACUAGGGAUGGAGAUGUGACCAGGUACUAGGGAUGGAGAUGUGACCAGGUACUUGGGAUGGAGAUGUGACUAGGUACUAGGGAUGGAGAUGUGACCAGGUACUAGGGAU
ensembl:lncRNA